GCCUCCUGAUGUGAUACAAUAAAAAGUACGUAGCACAUCUAUGGAAUUCUUACAACAAAAUAUUUAACUUAAGAAUAAUCAGACCUAUAGAUCUUAUUUCUAGGAAAUACAGAAGAUAAAAGAACAAAUUAAUCAAAUCACCAUGAGGAAACAGAUACAGAUGCUCCUAGACUUAUGAUGGAGUUAUGUGCCAAUAAACCCACUGUAAGCUGAGACCUAUUGUUUCUUGGGUAAGAGGAGGGGAUGGAAGGAGAGUGUUCAAUCUCCCCAUGAAUCUGGGAGUCUUUGUGGGAAGCUCACUUUGGUUCUAUCACACAGAAAAGUAUUUGAAGUGCCAGGAGGGCGGCAGAAGGAGUUUCUUUAGUCUGGGCUGCCAUGUGUUUCUCAGUGGGGAUGAGAUUCUUAGGCCACAGAAACAAAGUGUCUCUUCUGGCUGGGCGUUUGUUGCAAUGGAGUCCCUUUUGCCGAUGCCGCUUUUGCCAACUCAGUGUCUCUGGCCCAGUGAGGGGAAUCUCAGAACAAAACCUUGACAUAUAAUUCAUGCUUUAUAUGAAAAUUAACUCAAACUACAAAAUAAGUAUAUAUAGAUAUAGAUAUAAAUGUAGAUAUAGAUAUAAAUCUGGAAUAUCUAACAAAAGCAGUAAUAGCUACUCUGUUCAUCUCCAUUUAAAUACUGAUACAUAAAAACCAUGAAGAGGCAUGUAAAUUUGCAACAACACUGGAACUUAAUAACUUCCGGACUCUAGAAGGAACAAAUAAUCAAACAAAACAGUUUGAGAAAUUAAACAGGUUGGGUCUAAGUCAAGAAAACAGGAGCAUCUCUAGGCUUUCCAAAAGGAGGAAUUUAAUACAGGGAAUUGGUGGCAUAGGUGAUGGAAGAACAGAGAAGAAAAAUACAGUACAGUGAGACAACUCAGAGGUUGGCAGUAUGAAGAAGCUGCUUUCAUUCCUAAGAAGGGGUGAGCAUUGGAAUCAAGGAGGAAUCUGCAAGGUGGGAGUGGAUGGAAAUGUCUGCUAAAAUAUGGGAUACUGAAAGAAGUGAAGCUAUGAAGGAGCCACAGCUGCUGCCAAAGCACUGCCUGAGGAACAGAAAGGGGGAAAGAAAUACCGUGGCUUCUCAUUUCCCUCAAAUUCCUAUCUGCUAUGAGUAUCUCUCUUUGGCAGAAACCAGGUAGAAGCCAGCUAACAUGGAAAUGUGGGGAGAAUGGCCUGUAAUGGUCUACUCCCUACAAUAUGAAGCAGAACAGGGCAAAGGUGAAGACUAGAACUAAAGAAAAUAGGCAAAUGAGCAGCAUGUUACUAGAGGCUAAGGCACACUCUAACUUGUGAACCUAAACACUGAAAAUAUAAAAAGAAGAAAGUUGGAAAAAUAUCCACUAAUUGCCACUAGGUAUCCACCAGUAUAUCUCAAAGACAUACCCCACCAGAAACAAGGUAGCACCACUAUGGACUUGCAUACAAGUUUGCUAGGGCUGUUGUUCCACCCCGUAUAGUGCCUCUUAAAAAAAUAAAUUGAAGACUUUAAGUUCCUAGAAAUGCAACAUAAGCAGUGCUCAAAUAUCAAAACAGUGGUAAAUUACCUUCUGCAACUUAAGCUAUCAGAGAAAUCACAGAAAUCUUAAGCUAUCAGAGAUGCAGCAGGGCUAUGCAUGCGAGAAACUAUAGGGUUUUAUGCACUGUUAGUAAAAUAAAUAAAUACAUAUACAUACAUGAAUACACAAAGAAACACACACACACACACAAAUCCUAAAAUGCCUCUACUUAUUCAGGAAUAAGUUAAGCUUCAUAACGUAAAUUCAAAGAAGCAGGAGAAAAACACUUCUUGGUUAGUAGAAGUGCAAUGAAUUAAUGAUUUCCAGGCUUAACAUACUUGAGUAGAAGCUAUGUAUAUUCACUGUAAUUUCAGCUAAAUAUCACAGAAUGGGGUGCUCUUAGCACUCAAUUGGACAGUGGGAAGGGAAAGAGGAGCUACACUGGGCUUGGAUUAAUAUCUUUUCAUUUACUAAUAAGCGAAAAUAAACCAAAUAAAAUGGAUCCUUAAAAAAUGAUGUGAUUAGAUAAGGGGAAGGUGAGCAUUAACUUGAAGGUAGAGGAAAUAAUCCUACUUUUUUAGAGCUGUGCUACAUGUUACAAAAGACAACUCUAGGAAAAAAGCAUUGGUUGUUCUUAAGGAAAAUAAAGAAAAUAUAGAUUGUAAGAAGAAAGAGGUUGAGAUGAGAGGAAACUUA
rnacentral:lncRNA from 10 species